rnacentral:sRNA from 1 species
GCCAGGUGCGGUGGCCCACACCUGUAAUCCCAGCAGCUCAGGAGGCUGAGGCAGGAGGAUCGCGAAUUUGAAGCCAGCCUCAAGAACUUAGUGAGGCCCUAAGUAACUCAGUGAGACCCUGUCUCUA